ensembl:miRNA aca-mir-5400 aca-mir-5400
UUGGAUGAGGUGGUUGGAAUCAUCUCCUGCAGAGCUCUAGUCCAUUCUCCUGAGCAUUAGCACUCUGCAGGAAAGAACGCUAAGCACCUCAUUAAA